GGAGGAAAAGAAACCAACAGGGAUUGCCUCAGUAACGGCGAGUGAAGCGGCAAAAGCUCAAAUUUGAAAUCCUCCGGGAGUUGUAAUUUGAAAAGGUUAGAAUAGAAGAUUUAAAGAAAGUUUACUGGAAAGUAACGCCAUAGAGGGUGAUAGCCCCGUUCUUUUCAUCUUCACUUUUUUCUCUCCUUUAAGAGUCGAGUUGUUUGGGAAUGCAGCUCUAAUGGUGGUAAAAUCCAUCAAAAGCUAAAUAUCAGCGAGAGACCGAUAGCGAACAAGUACAGUGAUGGAAAGAUGAAAAGCACUUUGAAAAGAGAGUGAAAAAGUACGUGAAAUUGUUGGAAGGGAAGGGAUUAUUGAGCAGCGAGAUGCCAGGUAGUAAAGAGUCAAAAGCUC
rnacentral:rRNA from 1 species